GGAUGUGAGGGUGAUCUGGCUGUGACAUCUGUCACCCAGUGAUCACCAGGGUUGAUUCAGCUGAUCUGGUUAGCUAGGUGGAUGUCCCCUUCCUCCCUCACUGAUCCAUGGCUGUCCCUCCUGACCUAUGUGUUCAGUUCAAGAGGACAACCUUUCCUGAUAGAGGAGGACCAUUCUUCAUUCAAGGGUAUAUGAGAAACUGCGCUCCCUCGCUAGAGCCUCCAAACAGGCUCUCAUGAAAGGUUGCUGGUUAAAGAAAGGACUUCCUAAAUGUCCCAGGAAUCACACUCAGGGCCAAAUCCUGCAGUG
rnacentral:snRNA from 1 species